rnacentral:rRNA from 1 species
GACGAACGCUGGCGGCGUGCUUAACACAUGCAAGUCGAACGGUGAACCAGGGCUUGCCCUGGGGAUCAGUGGCGAACGGGUGAGUAACACGUGACCAACCUGCCCUUGGCUCUGGGAUAACCCCGGGAAACCGGAGCUAAUACCGGAUACGAGUUCGUGCGGCAUCACACGAACUGGAACGUUUUUCGGCCAAGGAUGGGGUCGCGGCCUAUCAGCUAGUUGGUGGGGUAACGGCCCACCAAGGCGACGACGUGUAGCCGGCCUGAGAGGGCGACCGGACACACUGGGACUGAGACACGGCCCAGACUCCUACGGGAGGCAGCAGUGGUGAAUAUUGCGCAAUGGGCGAAAGCCUGACGCAGCGACGCCGCGUGAGGGACGACGGCCUUCGGGUUGUAAACCUCUUUCAGCAGGGAAGGAGCGAAAGUGACGGUACCUGCAGAAGAAGCACCGGCUAACUACGUGCCAGCAGCCGCGGUAACAC